GACGUAGGGGGCCAGCGUUGCUCGGAAUUACUGGGCGUAAAGGGUUCGUAGGCGGUGCGGCAAGUCGGGAGUGAAAUCUCUGGGCUUAACUCAGGGGCUGCUUCCGAAACUGCCGUGCUUGAGUGCGGGAGAGGCGAGUGGAAUUGCAGGUGUAGCGGUGAAAUGCGUAGAUAUCUGCAGGAACACCCGUGGCGAAGGCGGCUCACUGGCCCGAUACUGACGCUGAGGCACGAAAGCGUGGGGAGCAAACAGG
rnacentral:rRNA from 1 species